GGAAGGGCCAUAGCUCAGUGGGAGAGCAUCUGCUUUCCAUGCAGAAGAUCCCAGGUUCAAUCCCUGGCAUUUCCA